rnacentral:tRNA from 1 species
AGAAGUAGUUUAAAAAAAAUGUAGGCUUUGGGAGCUUAUGAUGCUGAGUGGGUUCAGUCUUCUUAA